GGCUAAGGAUGAAUAUAUUUAUCUAAUUGCUUAAUUUAAUAGCUUUAUAAAGUUUAACUAUGGUUAGAUGGGGAUCGUGGCAUAAGUUAAAGGAUAUAGCUUAGGGUGAGUUAACUAAAGCUUAAGGCUAUAAAUAGGAGUCAUUAGUGUAAACAUAGCUCACACCAAUCUCUAUUAUGGAUUUACAUACCAAAAUUCUCUUGCAAUUAUUCUCUCCCUCAUAUAUUCACUUAUUUCAUUUUAGAAUGAAGCCUUAGCUCCGCUUAAUAUGUCACCAUAAAACCAAACACCACCCACAAACCAUUGUUUUCUUGUCCAUAUUAACUCAAGGCUAAGACACUAAGUUAAUAUCAUCCUCUCAUAUAUCUUACAUCAUAUUAGCGUCACCAUCUAUCAUUUGAAGUUCAAGUUUUGGUGCUCAACUAGAUCUCAUUGGAAGCUAAUUAAGGUUUUUCAUAAGAAACUCAUUAUUGGUUUUCAAGGAUCACUCUUAUUGCAAUCAAGGCUAGAACUCCACAUUCGAGGUAAGGAAAUUAAGUAGAAAAACUUAAGUUUUCUGUAUGUAAUAACAUUCAUAGGAAGAGUGGGAAUAGUAAAAGAGAAGUUAACUAAGGUCUUCUGCCUGACUCUUUAUUGUUUGUUAUUUAAUGUACUGUAUAAUAUAUAUUUAAAUAAUAUGUUUAUAAGAUUCAUGUUAUUUAUGUAUGUUUACAGUAUUAGAGCAUGGUCAUUGCUAAAGGUAUAUAUUUAAAUAAUAUGUUUAUAAGAUUCAUGUUAUUUAAGUAUGUAUGUAAAUAGUGUGUUUAUAAGAUUCACAUUAUUUAGUUAUGAUUGUUAUGUUAUUUAAAUAAUGUAUAGUAGUUUGACAUUAUUUAAAUUAGAUAGAUUAUAGUUUAUGUGACAUGGUUUGACCGAGAAGAUAAUGGUUAAAUACUUGAUUCUUGGGUCUAUAUGGUAGAUAGGGGGCCAUUUAGUAGUGGGUACGAUUUUACUGAACCCAGCCCUCCGCCAUUUAGUCCAAUAGCUCGGGUUUAUUUGCCAAAGUCGAACUUGGGCGUAAUCAUUUUAUGUGAUUUAGCUUAGAACCUAAUUAUUAGCUACUAGUGAUAUGGUUAAGUUUAUGUAUUGCUAGUUGUCAAUAUAUGAGCAUGUGCAUUUUUAGUUAAGUUUUAUUUUUAUUUUUUUUGUUUAUGUGACUACCUGACACACAUUUCCUUACUGAGUUUAGUAGCUCACCCUUAUCAAAUUACCAUGUGCAGACCAAGGUAACUGAAAGUUUAGAAAGUCGGUGGCGAGUGGAAUUUUGGACGCUUGUGUGUGUGAACUCGCUGAGGACCAUAUAACUGUGGGCGGUCUAGGGCGCUCUGUUUAUUUAUUUACGCUAUUAAACUUAUGUCGCAAUUAUUUUAGUUAUUAUUUAUUAUGUCUUUUGUACGAAAACUGGCCAGUUGUGAAUAUUUUCAAGUAUUAAAUAAAAAUGCGACAUUAUGAUUUUC